AAAGCCAGCAUUUGAGGGUGUUUGAGCUCAUUUUCAGGUUGCAGUUCUUCACUUCAUCGAAGUCCAGGUUCCAUGGUGGAUACAAAAACCUCAUCUGAAAAAGGGCAACACCUUCCAGGCUGUGCUGACCACUGACUCCAAGAUGUGCUACAUCAUCCUCAACUACGGGGACAUCCAGUGGACUACAAGAGGCAGCAAGUGAUUGAGACGCUGAAACAGGACUUGGGGGUACCCCAGCACAUGCAGGAUUCAAUAGUGGUGGUGACACCAAUUUCUAAACAUUCCUGGAUCCCAAACCAUCAUCAACAUCACCACCACCUCCAAUGUCAAGGUCCCAGGAUGCUGGGUCUUUCGGGUAGAUGACUUCCAGGUGACAGGUGUGGAUCCUCCCCAGCUGAACAACAACUGCUGGCUGUGAAUCGAAGAGAGUGGGGCAGAGGGACAUCACCAGUGCCACUGUUAUCACUGAUGAAGUCAAUGUGCAGAUCAACAUC